rnacentral:rRNA from 1 species
AUGCUCCACAAGUCAGUAGCACAUAAGGACACAAGGUGCAUUGAAUCGCUUGUCAUUCACAAUGGCUACCUCCCGGUCUCUUUAAACCAGCCGGUCUUCUUGUUUGGGCAGUUCAGCCAUUCUUGGCCGCUCUCCAUCUCGCUCUUGUUUGGCACCAUCGACUUGCCACAGCUGAGAAACAUGUGUUCAUCCAUGUGUCAGGGCAGUUUUCCAUCGCCUCCAUCACUUGUCCUUUCAAAUCAGGUCGCCCCGAGUGCAACGCAGGGUACGUGGUCUGGUUCAUUUCUGGCACAAUUUUGA